UGCGUAGGCGGGUUUCUAAGUCAGAGGUGAAAGCCUGGAGCUCAACUCCAGAACUGCCUUUGAUACUGGAAGUCUUGAGUAUGGCAGAGGUGAGUGGAACUGCGAGUGUAGAGGUGAAAUUCGUAGAUAUUCGCAAGAACACCAGUGGCGAAGGCGGCUCACUGGGCCAUUACUGACGCUGAGGCUCAAAGCAUGGGUAGCGAACA
rnacentral:rRNA from 1 species